CAAAUCGCCACGCACAGCAGGACAUGUUCUCAAGCAAUCUCUCCUCUCUGUCACCUUCCUUCUGCCUGGAACGUGGAGCCCAGAGACCUCUCAACUUCCGGCCUCCUGGGUGCUGGUUCCCAAAGACAGCUAUUUGCUGGGCUUGGACGUGAAAUGGGACUUCGGUGAAAGCCACCACAGGAAACGACUGGGCGCGAGAGUGUGGGCUGGCGCGCGCGUACCGGUGGCCUUGGGAGGCUUUCUGGGGUGUAAGAUAAGCAAGCACCUGGAGUUGAGCCCUUCACCUGGGGGGGGCGUGCUGAGCACCCCCACAUUGUGCACAUUAGGUUCUGCUGUCCAGAAAUGAGGCUGCCUUCUUCCUCUUCAGACAGCUCCAGCCUGCCUCUGGGUCUCCAUGCCUGGGUAGUCGCCAUCCCUCUUCUGUGAUGCUUUUUCUGCUGACCUCACUGGGUUCAUCCCCCAAGACUCAGUCAAUUGUCUUUUCUUUAGGGAAAUUCUCCCUGGCCUCCAAGAAGGGCACCACAGUUGGGUACUGCUGAUGAACCUCUCUGCUCUUUCUUCAAAGUCGUUGUCACAAGUCCAAUUUGAUUUUAAACAAAUAUUAAUAUCCCAAAGUACAUAUCUCCUUCACAUGACAGUGAGUUUUGUGAAGCUAGACCAUGUCUCGUUCACAUUGUUGACUCCAUGGCCUUGUUCAAGCACUUCCUUGGUGAAAAAAAUGAAUGAAUAUAUUCGAUUGAUUGAUUGAUUGAUUGCCUUUGUAAGCUUUAAGAUCUAUUUGUGCUGGGACUGUGUCACACUGUUCUCAUCUCCGUGCAUGGCACCCAGCCUGGAGCUGCUGGCUGUUGAUCAAAUCCAGGACCUUGGUCUCUCCCCAGCUCCCAUCCUCCCAGAAGGAGUGAAAGGUGGAGAUGCUGCUGGCCUUGGCCCUUAGGUCUCUAGAGGAAGUCUGGGAGGGUAACACUUUCCUUGUUGUCUCUGUGGUAUAUAGAGCUCUACCUUGUAGCAUUCUGGCAAACACUUUUGCCUGCCCAGCAGCUAUCCCUCAUUUCUUUCCUGUAGUCAGGGACCAUGUCUGUUUUGGUAUUCAGCCCCCACAACAUGACUUUUAAGAGAAUGAAAUUAUCCCAGGUGCAGAGAAAAACCCCAAGUGAUAGGAACUAAUAGUUCUCAAAGUCUGAUCAACAGAAACCCAGGGUCCUGGGGACCCUUACAGGGACUCCUUAAAAUCAAAAGUAUUUUCAUGACAAUGCUGAGACCUAGUCUUCUUUUCUCCAUGUUGACAUUCACUUGAAGGGUAAAAAAGCGACAAUGAGCAAAAUUGCUAGUGACCCAGCACCUCUCAAGGCAGUGGCCCUAAUACACGUUGUGAUCUCUACUACUCACGGUUUAAAGUAUCAGUUUUUUUGGACAUCAAGAUGAAACAGUAAAACCUAUGAUUCUUAUUAAGUCUUAACUCUUGAGUACAGGCCAUUUAAUUAUUCUGAGUAGAAAUGGGAAUUAUGGAAACAUCAUUUCUGCUGCAUACCCAGGUACGAUGGACGUGUGCAUCUCCAGGAAAAGUCCUUUUCUUGGGCAGUGGUUCAAGUUGGGUUCGGAACUCGUUAGCUUUUCUUGUAAGACAUCAUUUUUGCUUUAGAGAACAUCUGACUAAUGGUUAUUCAAAUUGGGGGAUUUGGCAGAUGUUUUCUUCAAAAAUAAACAAAGAAAACAUCUAAAGAGUAUCUGUUGCCAGUGACAAAAUUUAAGUUUUCAAGAAAAAUAAUAAUUUUUAGAACUAUUGUAUUUUCCGUCCUGAGAUUAAUAACUCCCCAAUAGCUUAAGAUUUCCUGAUGACCAGUGAAGACUUUACUGAAUAUUAUUUUUCAAAUGGUGUAACAAUGGGUGUCAACCUUGGAAGAUUUGCAUAAUUCAAUGGACUAGUGUUUUCCACUGGUUGAAUGAAUGGAAAUGACCCCUAUAUGAUGUUACAAAAUGUGGCUGGACCCAUUCAGACAGCAAGUUAGAUAGAGAAUGGAUUUUAAUGUAAUGAAAUAAAAACCCAGUUCUUUGAUAUGCUUCAGAUUUCAUGCUAUACCUCAUACUUAAAAAAAAACUACCACUUGCUGAGUUUUCGUAUAUUAUCAAAGAAGCAUGUCUGCAGUUAUCCAAAGAGGCUCUUAAAAUAUUCUUCCCUUUUGCAACUGGGUAGCUAGAUUUCUUCAUAUGCUUCAACCAAACAACAGAUCACAGCAGACCGAUGGCAAAAGUAGGUAUGAGGAAUCAACCAGGCGUUGGAAAAUUACCACAAUAUAAAAGAAUACCAGUUCUCCCACUGUUCGUUUUUCAUUUUGGAAAAUAUAGUUAUUUUUCCUAACUCUAUGCUAUUUAUAUUAACAUACGUAUUUGUUUUUUCUCAA